UCUCUGUUUAUUGUGGCGGCCGUGUGUAUUUGUUGUGGAUGGCCACACUCUACUGGGGCACAAUUCGCCGCAGAUUUUGACAAAUGGCCGUUCGCCAUAUCACAGCAAAGUAAUUUUUUUUUAUUUGGUACAAAAUUUUCAUCUUGCAUACAUUGCAAUAGGGAUUUUUCAAUUAAGUUUUGAAAAAAAAAGUAUACAAAUGUACUUAUUGUUAAAAAAGACAAAUAUUUAUUAGAGCAAAAAUUUAAAGUGCAAAUAUUUACAACAUUUUAAAAGCAAACCGAAAAGUAUAAAAAAUGAGUUCGACGUCAAGCCGCAAAGAAACUGAACGGACCAAAUUAAUACAGGAAAAAUGCCAAACAUUAUUAACUCAAAUGCUUCGUGAUGAAGAUAAUAAAUAUUGUGUUGAUUGCGAUGCAAAAGGACCUCGAUGGGCUUCUUGGAAUUUAGGCGUAUUUCUAUGCAUUCGUUGUGCUGGUAUUCAUCGCAACUUAGGUGUGCACAUAUCGCGUGUCAAAUCAGUUAAUCUGGAUACUUGGACACCAGAACAGGUCAUAUCUUUGCAACAAAUGGGCAAUUCUCGUGCGAGAGCAGUUUACGAAGCACAAUUACCCGAUGGUUUCCGACGACCACAAACUGAUACAGCACUUGAAUCUUUUAUACGUGCAAAAUAUGAACAUAAAAAGUAUUUGGCUCGUGAAUGGGUACCACCAUCACCACCAAAAGUUGAUUGGGCUAAAGAAAUCGAUGAAGAAUUGGAAAGACAAAAACGUAAAAAGAAAGCUGCACAAGCCAAUAAUGCACUUGGUCUGAAUGUAAUAAGUGGUAGUGAUAAAAAGUCUGCAACGAGUUCAAUAAAGUCUACACCAUUACCAGCACCAUUGCCUAAACCGAAACCGGGACAAAGUGGCAGCAGUCCUAAAACUCAUCGAAAUUCAACUAGCUCUGCAGUUAGCGAUUCAAAUCACAGUAGUGAUUUGUUAGGACUUUCAUCGCCAACUAAACCCACACAGAAUCCGGUGGGUAGUAACAAUGGUGCACAGGACUUAAACAACGAUACUUUUAGUAAUUUUUUAAGUGCAACACCAACAAUGCAUGGAGAAAAAAUGACAGAUUCAAGUUUAAAUCCACAAAAUCCUACACAUAAUUCAUUGGCAAAAGAAGAGGAAGAUUUUUUCAAUCAAAGCGCACUUGGUAAUUCUAACGAUAAGGAUAGCUCAGGAAAAUUAACCAAGGAUAGCAUUUUAGCCUUAUAUGGUACUGCACCUAAUAACCUCGCCUCUGCCCACAAUCCACAAAUGAAUUUCCUACAACCACAACCAAUGUUUGGAGCUUCAAGUGCGUUUUCUAGUUACAUGAGUGCGGGCAGUACACCACAUCCACAACAACACCAGUUCAUGACACCGCCCAAUUCGACUAGCAUGUAUAAUACACCUGUUAUGACGGCACCAACUGCUUUUAGUACAGCUGCUGGCAUGCAUAUGACAGGUGCAGCAGGCGGUGGAGCAUUUAAUGCGCAAUUUCCAGGCGCUACCGGUUUCACACAACAAAUGCCUGGCAUGAUGCCUGGUGCAGUUGGUAUAAUGGCUACAGGACAAACACCAGCCAAUAUAAAUCUUAUGCAAACAAAUCAAAGCCUAUUGAGUGGUUUAACAAUGUUGGGAAAUCCAGCGCAGAUGGCAGCGCCACAAGUUAAUAUGGGGGGUAUGCCACUAACUGGCAUGCCACAGAUGGCUGGAGCACCCUCAUCCUUUCAGACACCCAGUACCGGUGUAACUGGAAACUUAAACCAACAAUUUGGUAAUUUAAAUAUCGGUAACGUCUGGCAAUAAAAACUUAUACUGUUUGACUGCACAUAUACUUCGAUUACGUCUUCAGCAUAAUUGAUUUUUUUUCUUGACUUGCCAACUUAGCUUAUUUUGUCUUCAAGUCGUCGAAAAGUUCAUUUCAUUAUAACAAAAAAAAAACGAUAUCUUCUGCAGACUCUCCAGUAUCAGAUCUAUAACAUUUAUUAGACAUAAAGAGCUUUACUUAAAAAUCACAGUGCUGCCGGAAAUCCUUAAAUUAUAUACUAUUUUAUUAAAUAAUACCUAUUUGAACUAUCUUAGUUAGCAAUCCAUUGUCGAAAAAUAUAAAUUAAAUUAUG